rnacentral:rRNA from 1 species
CAUGUCUAGUAUAGCAUUAUACCGUGAAACUGCGAAUGGCUCAUUAAAUCAGUUAUCGUUUAUUUGAUAGUACCUUACUACUUGGAUAACCGUGGUAAUUCUAGAGCUAAUACAUGCUGAAAACCCCAACUUCGGGAGGGGUGUAUUUAUUAGAUAAAAAACCAACGCCCUUCGGGGCUUCUUGGUGAUUCAUGAUAACUUUACGGAUCGCAUGGCCUUGCGCUGGCGACGGUUCAUUCAAAUUUCUGCCCUAUCAACUUUCGAUGGUAAGGUAUUGGCUUACCAUGGUUUCAACGGGUAACGGGGAAUUAGGGUUCGAUUCCGGAGAGGGAGCCUGAGAAACGGCUACCACAUCCAAGGAAGGCAGCAGGCGCGCAAAUUACCCAAUCCCGACACGGGGAGGUAGUGACAAUAAAUACUGAUACAGGGCUCUUUUGGGUCUUGUAAUUGGAAUGAGUACAAUUUAAACCUCUUAACGAGGAACAAUUGGAGGGCAAGUCUGGUGCCAGCAGCCGCGGUAAUUCCAGCUCCAAUAGCGUAUAUUAAAGUUGUUGCAGUUAAAAAGCUCGUAGUUGAAACUUGGGUCUGGCUGGCGGGUCCGCCUCACCGCGUGUACUUGUCCGGCCGGGCCUUCCUUCUGGAGAACCUCAUGCCCUUUACUGGGCGUGUUGGGGACCAGGACUUUUACUUUGAAAAAAUUAGAGUGUUCAAAGCAGGCCUUUGCUCGAAUACGUUAGCAUGGAAUAAUAGAAUAGGACGUGCGGUCCUAUUUUGUUGGUUUCUAGGACCGCCGUAAUGAUUAAUAGGGACAGUCGGGGGCAUCAGUAUUCAAUUGUCAGAGGUGAAAUUCUUGGAUUUAUUGAAGACUAACUACUGCGA